GUCGGGGUGCCAGGUGAUCCGUUACACCCACAAAAUAUUGGGACAUAUAAAAAAGACAACUCUGUUCCGCAGAGUAGCUGUUGACAUUAUAGUUGUGCAGGCACUUUGUUGACUCUAGAGAACCUCGGACCAAUCGCACAUCCCUGUGACGGAGACUUUGCAUUUGGAUGUCAUCCAUAUCAACUUUUGAUGCCAGUUUCUGUGCCUACCAUGGUGACCAUGGGUAACGGGUAAUCAGGGUUCCAUUCCGUACAUGGAGCCUGAGAAACUGCUACCACAUGCAAGGAAGGCAGCAGGCGCGCAAAUGACCCACUCCCGACGCGGUUAGGUAGUGACGAC